GUCGUGCUCUGAGCUCGGGCAGCUCGGCCGCUUGCAAGCGACGCUCCUCCCCGCUCUUUUGUAACUAAUAUUUGUUAAAACUGCUUAUUUUUCUAAGGCGGCAUCCCUGGCUGAUAAACCCCAGCAGGGUGAGGACCGGCUAUAAACCCCGUGGAUCCCUCUUGCUUUCACGGGUAAGAAACUCCGCGUUAAAUCCCGCUGCGCAGGCAGAGAGCAGAGGGCAAUCAAACCGAGCCGCAGCUCGGAUUCCCCGGGCCGCCGUGUUUUUCCUCUGACCCACACAAAGAUUUCUUUCUAAAUUUAUCGCGGCGUUCAUCGGCAGUCCCACUUAGUGGCAGAUUAGGAGGCUGGGCAGGCAAGGCCCAUUGAAAUGAGGGCAGGGGAGCCUGAAAUAUAAGCAAGCAGGGGAUGACGCAGGCAGCGAGGGGCAGGUGCAGCCCCGGCUCAGCUCCCACCAGCAUCCCCGCUCCGGAUUAUCCAUCCCCGGGGCUGCGAUGGGAAUGCUGCACCCAGAUGGCAGCGUCCCAGCUCCCGGCCGGGUCCAGGGAGGUCGGCCAGUCUCCGGAGGCCCCGGUGCUGGCACCAGCGGGGAAUUUCCACUGGGUUUGUGGAAGGAGCUGCCGGCAAGGGGCGAAGCGGCGUUUGGGUGUUUGUGCAGCGUCCCCGUGCAUCCCUUGUAAACGUGGGCUGUGAAGGAAGAACCAGCUCGCAAUAAGAGCUUAUAUCAGAGGUUCUAUCCCUGGAAACAGACGCAGAGAUAGGACUAGAGUAAUUCACCGAGAAUAACCUGAAGGACAGGCCAGCUUGGCCUGUUUGUUUCUUUGCUCUGCUACUGACGCAUUGUAUAACCUUGGGUAAAUCACAUAACCUACGCGUGACUCGGAUUCCUUGUUAUAAUAUGAUUUCAUAAUGGGAAUAAUAAGAUUCCAUACCUGCACAUCAUACCCACACCAUCCUCCUGGAUCCGGCAGCCUUCACCACCACCAGGUCUGAGUCUGUGGGACCACAGACCUGACUUUGUGCCCCAUGGACCCCCAUGCUGAGGACACGGACCAGUGUGACUCAUGGGUGCUGAGUGAUGGUAGCCACGCUCUUCACAGAGAUGAAGCCCCACACGUCGCGUUUGGAAUCACGCAGGGAAAUUAUGCAGUUACAAGGAUGGCAUAAUUGAGAGAAUGCUUGACUAGCGCAAUUUUCUUAUGUGCCUGUCAGCAAAUCACUUAAUCUGUGCUGUGCCAAGUUUCCCAUCCAUUAAAUGGGGAAUGAUUAUCCCCCUACAUCCUAAGAGGGAGGGAGAAUAACACCCGCUAAUGAUGGUGGAGGUACUGGAAGGUGGUCACAGAGAUGCUCAGUGACACAGAUAGCGGCUGCAGACCUGGAAGGAACACGUAGCAUUUAAAACCCAACCUUUAGACAUUAAUUUCUCCUCCUGCUGCUUUUUCUUUUUUAAACUGAAGAAAAUUCCACAAUAGAUCUGCCUCUCCUGCGCAGGAUUUUAAAACGAUUCCUCAGCCAUUCCCCAGCUCGGGACAUCGCAGGUGUGAUGGGAAUGAGGAGGAAAACGCCGUGAUGCGCUGGGAGAAGGUACCUUGGGGGGCCCGGAGCGAUUCCAUCACCCCCCCCACCUUGGUGACACUCGCGGCUUCCUGGGACUUGUAGGCAGCGUGGGGUGACCUUGGCUGCAGGGGGGGCCACGGAGCCCCCGGAGCUGCGCGGGUGCUGAGCCCCAGGCAGGUACCAGGAUCCCUCUCCCCACCGAGGUGAUGGCACCAGCGACCCUGAAGAGAAGCUGCCAAACUAAUGCAUGCUGCAAUUAAGUUAUAAAAGACGUACCCAUCAUUAACCAAUGCUUUCCGAACACCUGCAAAACAAGGGGAUAUUGUUCAAGUUUUAGAUCCUUCUUCAUGACAAGAGACAGAAGAUCAAGCGAUGCAUUGUUUAGAAGCAGAGUGCUUAGUUUAUAUUUAACUAAUAAUUAAUAGAUGUAUUGUAAGUAAGUAAACAAGUAUUAACAUCCUCAAUUAUUUCUUAGUAUAGAUGUAUGUAAAAUUUUUCAAAAAUUGUAACGCAUAUUUAAUAAUUAUAUGAAUAUAAGCAACACAAGAGCAUCCAGUCACUGGAGCGCUUAUGGAGGGUGAUCCCCAGUGUUCCCCAGUGCUGAUAAAAUAAGGAACGCCGCUUAACAGUCUAAUUAACUCCGCUGUUAUUUCUUCUUUUCACCUCGAGCAUCCCUUCUGCUGCAGCGGGAUGCAGGGUGUGCUUGUGUCCCAUCUGCCCCAAAACACCUUCUAGGCCACCGAGGAGCCGGUGGCAUCGCCAGGACCCGCUUUGCCUUCUCCCCACCUCCUACUCGGCCAGAAUGGCGUUAGAAACGGGGAUCCUGCAAACACCACCUCACUUUUGGGUUGGUUCUUUUCACCGUGCACGUGCAGUGGGACUGUAGGUUGGGCUGUGACGAGCAGGGUGUUACUACCACGGGGUGACAGACACCUCUGCGAGAUAAUGCGGGUUGCCAUGGUUACCGAUGGAAAAUAGGGCUACGGGUUAACUCAGGCCAGCAGCGCAUGAAGCAAAAACACCCCACGGCGUUUUGUGCACACCUGAGACACCGAAAGGCACAUCGGUGGCCACUGCAAACCCCCAAGUCACCACCCAGCCCCGAGCUGGUAGGUUAAACUUUCCAAGACUCCCCCAAACAAAAUCGUUGAGUUCAACAGGGAUGGGAUUGGGGCUCAGGGGGAAUCAACCUCCUGCAAGGCUCUGUUAUUUAUUACUUAUUGGUGCACCCCAAGCCUUACGGCCUUAUGCAAGCUCUGAUUUUUUGGAGCCUUCACACUCUGAGUAUUUAAGAUGAAUUCUCUCCAAGAGAAUUCUCUGAAGAGCGGAGACUCGUGUCCAGUGCACUCAAUGGGCAAAUAAACUGUGUUCUCUUAAUAAUAUGGGUGAUCUUUGGGGUGCUGUUCAAAAUAUGUAUUUAAAGAAGUCUGUACCUUCUUCACAAUAUGUUCUUAUUGCCUUUUUUUUUUUGAGGGAAGGAUAGUAUUAGAAGCCGGUUUAGAGGCUUAAAACCAAUCCUUGCCUUAGGCCGGCUCAGAGCUAAUCCUCAGCUCUCCUUUCCCCUUUAAAGGAGUAAAGUAAAGUGAUACAAGCAUGGACAGGCUGAGGAGGAGCUGGGUUAUGGGUAGUUUUUUUAAAGGAAAAUAGUUGGCAGGAACACGAGCAAAGCUGAAAGUAUUUUCAUCUGUUUUGUUUUGUAAUGUUCAAUGUUUUGUUUUCUGCUUUAGGAAUUACACAAAGGAAUCGCUCAAAGGAAAGGUCUCCCAUUCUAAUCUCAUCUAAUGUGACUAAGCAGAAUUGGCCAAGUGAGGAAAAAAGCCCAAAUAACAUCAAAAAUGACAAUAUCUAGUUUUUCUUAGGGGAAAAAAAAGAUGGAAAAGCUCAACCUUUAACGGAGAUUUGUUUGCAAAAUUAUUCCAUGCUGGGAAGAGUAAUCAACUUGUGCAUAAAGGUGUUUUUUUGAGAUUAAUUUCUAUUUUGUUAAUCGCUUGGAUUUUAGAAACUUACUAGCGGGUUUCAAAUUGUUAUUGCUAUAUAAGUGCAAAAUACUUGUAAACUGUUAUGUGCAUAUGUUUUAUGGGAAAGAACUGACCAAGAAGACACCAUUUAAAAAGCAAUAAUCUUGGCAGUUUGAGGAGAAAAAAGCUGGGAAAGGAGCCUCUGCUCGCUCCCUCUUUUUUACAAGCAUUUUUAAAAGAUAAUAGCUUAUAAUGACUUAUUUUUAGAACUGUCUAGAAGCCUCAGCUGAGACCCAGAGGGCAGCAAAGACAGUUUAUCCCCGGCCAAAACAAUUUACAAUCCCAGUUUCAAGGCUGAGACAAGAGGCAGAAAUAAACCUCAGCCGGUACCUGCAGGAACCACAAAAUAUGUCGGGUUAUUCAGCCGAGCUGAUGAAAACACUCCAAAAAUGAUCAUUUUCGGUAAUAAAAAAGCAUUUCAUUUCCCUUCGGUACCUUUGCGGCAUCAGGUUUUGGUGCUCGGGAGCAUCUCGGCAGGCGAUGCUGAAGCUGGAGCUGCGUCUGGCGGCUCCGGCACCCGUGGGUGCUGCAGCGGGGGCGGCAGCGGGGACCGAGGCGAUGGGAUGAAUCACAGCACGUUUCCCCAUCCCUCGCUCCGUUUCUAAAAGCAGCGGCUGCAGACAGACGCAUUCACCGUGAUUUGCCCCCGUCUCCAUCGCUUUGUGCUGCCGCACAUGGGCAGCAUCGCUGGGGGUGCAUCCAUAAACCAGAUGAGGUUAAAUUGUACCAUAAUAAUGCUUAGAAAGCUGCUUAAGAAUACCUAUUUUUUUCCCCUGUUGUUUUGUUUGCCAAUUGUCGUAUUGUUGGUGAACUUUUAAUGGGAGAUUUUUCUUCUAUCCAGGGUAUAACUUGGGCAGUUGGAAGGUGACAGCAGGACAGACAAUCCAGGACUGCGGGACAGCCAGAAACUGGGAUAUGGGACGCUGGUUUCUGCGGAGAUCAAAGCAGGGACGUCAGCCCAAAGGUCCUGCUCUUUGUCGUUCCCAUGUCCCAAUGCUCACCUGGACUUACUAUUUCCUUAAACAUCCGAGCAGACUCAAGUCGGACACUUUAACUGCGAUUCUCGCUGUUGCCCCUGGACUUGCAGGAGAGUUUUUCCCCAGUUACGUAAAUCCAAGAUAUUGCAGGAGUGUUUGAUGAAUUUUGUCCUUUGUUUUACCGGCUAGAAGGUCUCUCCAUCGCUGGUUUUCACAGCCUGAGAUACAGCUGGAGCAGAGGGGCCCUCGUGCUUCCCUACUCAUUGCUGCUACAGAAACACAAACAGAAAACAUGGCAUUAACUCCUGCUUUCUGCCAAAUAUCAUUAUAGCCAACGUGAUGCAUUUUUCUGGCUAAAUUGGUAAUGAAUAUACAUCUUUUAGGGUGGGAAAAGAGUUGUUUUUAUAGGCUUUACAAGAGAAAUAAACUUGCCAUAGUUUGAAAGCAAAGGCUUAAAUAUGUUUAUUUCAUGCUAAACAUCUUGUAGUUCUGCUUAUGAGAUAGUAAGUCUCUGUAUGGAUGUUGUCUGGGCGGAAAUAAAUAGGGAUUAAUGGCAGUUCCUGUGGAUGUGCUGGCGGUUCAAGGAGCCUGUGGGAAGUGAAGAUGGUUAAA